rnacentral:sRNA from 1 species
GUGUUAGCUUAGGCGAAGUGUAUAUAUAUAUAAAUAUAUAUACACGUACGU